rnacentral:tRNA from 1 species
ACUUAAAUAGUUUAAUUUAAAAUAUUGAUUUGUGGUGUCAAAGAUAUGAUGUGCAUUUUGAGUU